rnacentral:sRNA from 1 species
AUUCUGCCCAAGCGGGGAAGGAUGAGAAGCUUCGACCAAGGUUCGACUUGAGCGCCAGCGAGAGAGCGUUGCCGCAGGCAACGACCCGAAGGGCGAAGCGCGCAGCGCUGAGUAAUCCUUCCCCCACC